rnacentral:lncRNA from 1 species
UUUUAUCAGGGUUAUUAUCCAUCGUCAAAGGAUCUAAAAGCAAAUAAUAAUUUUGAUUUUAGUUAUGAGAAAAAUAAAAUAAAAUAAAAUCAAUAACGAAGAAGAAUUGAUUCACCUUCUCUUGAUUCUUCAACAAAUGAACAUCAAUUGCAUCAUAUAUAUAAUUAACAUACCAUAUUGUUUCCUCCAUUCUUCAUAUAUAUAAUUAACAUACCAUAUUGUUUCCUCCAUUCUUCAAAUUUCAUAAACCCUAAAAAGAAAAACGAAAACGAAAUUACAUAAACACUAAAAAGAAAAACGAAAUUGCAUAAACCCUAAGUUUUAACAUAAACCACAAUUGCAUAAACCCUAAAAAGAGAAAUUAGAACGAAGAAUGAAAUUAACUGAGAACGAAAUUAGAACGAAGAAUGAAAUUAGAACAAAAUUACCUGCGAACACGAAUUAGGGAACGAUUUGAGGUUGGCCGGUUUCAAGAAGAACGAUUUGAGGAACGAUUUGAGGUUGGCCGGUUUCAAGGAUAACGUUUCGAAGAAGAAGAACGAUUUGAGGAACGAUUUGGGGAACGUGAUUUGGGGUUUCAAUCGAUUUAGGGUUAUUUCGAAGAAGAAGAAGAAGAAGAAGAAGAAGAAGAAGAAGAAGAAGGUGAUUUGUGUUAGCGCGUAGUAUAUGUGUGUGGUACAGAUCGAGGAACCCUUUCUAGUAUGUG